UACAGAGGGUGCGAGCGUUGUUCGGAAUUAUUGGGCGUAAAGGGCGCGUAGGCGGGUGAUCAAGUCCGGGGUGAAAUCCUCCAGCUUAACUGGAGAAUAGCCCUGGAUACUGGUCGUCUUGAGGGAGGUAGGGGCAUGUGGAACUUCCGGUGGAGCGGUGAAAUGCGUAGAUAUCGGAAGGAACGCCGGUGCGAAAGCGACGUGCUGGACCUCUUCUGACGCUGAGGCGCGAAAGCCAGGGGAGCAAACGGG
rnacentral:rRNA from 1 species